GAAUCGAAUUCACGCACUCAGGAUCGGUGAAUUAUAGAUCGGUGUAGGUGUUAACACGGCGCAGUGGGUAAACGAUUGUAUCAGAAACGAAUGUAUGUAAAUGUGCGGCUUGUAUAGAUCGAAUGUGUUCGCUAUCCUUUUUUCCAGCCUUUUUGUUAUGUGCGUUGAUUGAUGUGGAGGUGUGUUGAGUUGUGUUGAGUGGUAUCAGCUGUGGUGAAUUGCGCUGUACCAUUAGGAUGCGCCUGUUAUUGCGGGUAGAGUGGGUGGAAGUUUAACCCAUUUAAACA